UAUUCCUGUUUGGUGUCCCGACCCCUGAAGGUUUUCAGAGCUGGGUAAAAAUAGGGCUUUUGACCAUUCAGCCACAGUCACCAGACAUGUAAUCUUGCUCUGUAUUGCAGGAAUUAUUAUUGCUUUCCCACAGCUUUUUACUUUUCUAGAUUUUACUAUGAGCUUGGAGCAAAGGCUUCAUGUGGCUAGGUUGUUGUCAAUGUUGGAAUAUGCUCUCACCUGAACUCAGGAAAACUUGACGGUUGCAGCAAACACUGUUAGGGUAGAGGAAGCUGGAAGCUGCCUAGAGGGCCUCAUUUCCACACUUGUUCCUGUCUCUCCUACGAAUCUCUUCCACAACUUCUAGAGGAAAUUCUUCUGUCUGUGGCAUUCUUCAAAAUCAUGCAGCAUCAUGUUCUGGACCCUUAUUGAGAAUAUAUGAAAUUCUGAACCACGUAAAGAGAAAGGGUAUUUGCUUCUGGGUGUGUACUGUGGAUUACAUGCACCGUCAAAACCAAACCCAGCCACAUCUUCUUUGACAGAGGGGGAAGCCAAAGCUUGUAAUGUGGUGGUGUUGCUGUCUAAAGGGUGGGAGAGCUGGCACCAGCCUCCAUGCACCUUCCUUUUACUCAUUCAUUAGCCAUAUUUCUCUUUGCACCCACACAUCAUGAACGAGGUUAAGGCUGGGUCUCCAGACAACAGACCCGAGUGAGCGGGAGUUCGAGCAUCCAGGGCUGAGAAGAUGGUUGGGUAUAGGUUUUCUUAGUAUAUGCACAGCGCCCUGGAGCCUAAGCAGGUGUGGUCACCUGUGUCCACACUUGCUGUUUCGUUAAAGACAACAGCAUCCUUCACAAGUGGCCAUUCUUCAUUCUUACAACCAGAUUGGUUUUCAGCAGAGGCAGCUGAGGUGACCUCGUGACUCACCCAGUGGCUGAGACAUGGCCCAGACACAGUACUUGGCCUUCCCCCUUGGUGCACCAUCAACAUCCUUUCCCGUGUGCUUGCUUCUCUCAGAAGCUUGGGGCUGGUGCUACCCCAGGAGUCACCAGCAUCUCACUUUGCCUGCAUGCCGCCACCUCUAUCCUGGGUGUUGUCUUCAGUGUUGGUCUACAUGGUUUCCUGUGACUUGGCCUUGGGGGCUAUCCGUGCAGUUCUCACAAACCCCCCCAUUUAGACCAGCCUUAUCACGAGGUCAUGUGCGGCUAAGUCUGGUAUAUUGAGUUCAGUCCUUGAGGUUUAUAUGGUAGAGGAGAGAAUUGAUCUUUACAAGCCCACGGUGGCACAUAUAUGCCUGCACACGUGCAUGCAAAAAACAUAAAAUGUAAACAAAAUAUUUGCCAAGGCUCCUUCAGACACUGACCUCUGAGGCUCUUUGCUUAUUUUUAUUUCUGCAUUGCUUUCCAUGAUGCAAAUCCUUGUGAGGGAACACUGGCACAGGUGUGUGAACACUAGGACAGGUGUGUGAACACUGGCACAGGUGUGUGAACACUAAGACAGGUGUGUGAACAGUAGGACAGGUAUGUGAACACUGGCACAGGUGUGUGAACACUAGAACAGGUGUGUGAACACUGGCACAGGUAUAGUAGGAAAAAAACCCUCUCAGGAUUACUUGCAAAAUGCUUUCAUUUGGUUGGGAAUUCAAUAGAAAUUUGUCGGGCUUGCCCCAGGUCUGUCUAGUUUCCCACCUGUUAAUCUAACUCCCAGGAUAACAUCCUCAGAGAUAACCUUAGAUUGUUCCUGGAGGUGAGGGGUGAAACCACUCAAGAAGGGCUGUGUGAGCCUGACAUGAGCAAGUUACAGUGAAGCGUAUUAACACAAGGUUUUAAGUCUACUAAAAGUAGUAUUUUCUAAUUACCAGGUGUAACAGUUUUAAAUAGAAGUAGAAAAUGGAUUUUUGUGGCCAAAUGUCAUAUACCUGCUUUUUCUGUGGUAUUGUUUUGUGGUUUUUGGUGCUGGGAAUGGAGCCCUAAUGCUUAUCAGGGGUCCCCCUACUGUGCCUCUCCAGCCCUGGUUGAGUUGUUUUGCAUUUUACUACCUCCUGCAGGGGUCUAGGAGAUCAGAGGCUGGUACCUGCUGUUCAGAUGCUAUGCUAUGGGUAGUUUUAACUGUUAACUCUGGAAGAGAAUUUUAAUGAGAAAUUAUUUCUUCAUUAUUAGUUGAUGUAGGAAGACUCAGUCCACUGUGGGCGACACUAUUCCCUAGGCAGGGUAUACUAAAUAGUAUGAGAGGAGAAAGCCAGCCGAGGGCCAGCAAGGAUCCGUGUUUACCUCUCUGUCUGUCGGGCCUGUGGUGUGCCCAUCUACUUCAUGUUCCUGCCUUGACCUCCCUGCAAUAGCACACCACAACCUGGACUUGUGAGCCAAAUCAACCCUCUCUCCCCCAAGUUGAUUUUGUCAUGGUAACGGAAAUGAAGCUAAACCAGAUGCUCAGGGUGAUGCACACACUGGAUCGGACCCUUCUCACAUUACCCUGCCCUGGAUGUCAUCCAGUACCACCCCUCUGUCCCACACAGAGGGGAGCCCAGAAGCUGCUUCAGGGAACUAUCAGAGGAGGAGAGCUGAUUCAUUUCACAUUAAAAAAAAAUGCCUUCCAUGACUGCAAACGACUCAUCCGAAGCUGUGGACACUUUGUGGUCAAAUUUGAUUUCCUAAAGGAUAAAAAAUUCAAUGUCUAUGUCACUGGAGUUUGGAAUUGUCACUUGCCUGUAUGUGGAGGAGGUUCUACAGGCGCUGAUACUGUGUUUUGGGAGCGGGUGUACGUGUUUAUGAUUUGUUAAUGAUAUUUAUCUUUAAUAAAAAUUAAGUUACAAGCAGCAUAA